AUUGAACGCUGGCGGCAGGCCUAACACAUGCAAGUCGAACGGUAGCACAGAGAGCUUGCUCUCGGGUGACGAGUGGCGGACGGGUGAGUAAUGUCUGGGAAACUGCCCGAUGGAGGGGGAUAACUACUGGAAGCGGUAGCUAAUACCGCAUAACGUCGCAAGACCAAAGUGGGGGACCUUCGGGCCUCACACCAGCGGAUGUGCCCAGAUGGGAUUAGCUAGUAGGUGGGGUAAUGGCUCACCUAGGCGACGAUCCCUAGCUGGUCUGAGAGGAUGACCAGCCACACUGGAACUGAGACACGGUCCAGACUCCUACGGGAGGCAGCAGUGGGGAAUAUUGCACAAUGGGCGCAAGCCUGAUGCAGCCAUGCCGCGUGUAUGAAGAAGGCCUUCGGGUUGUAAAGUACUUUCAGCGGGGAGGAAGGCGGUGAAGUUAAUAGCUUCACCGAUUGACGUUACCCGCAGAAGAAGCACCGGCUAACUCCGUGCCAGCAGCCGCCGUAA
rnacentral:rRNA from 1 species